rnacentral:rRNA from 1 species
AUUGAACGCUGGCGGCAUGCUUUACACAUGCAAGUCGAACGGCAGCGGGGAGGAGCUUGCUUCUCUGCCGGCGAGUGGCGCACGGGUGAGUAAUACAUCGGAACGUGUCGAGAAGAGGGGGAUAACCACCCGAAAGGGUGGCUAAUACCGCAUAAAUUCUGAGGAAGAAAGCUGGGGACCUAGGAAUAGGCCUAGCGCUUUUUGAGCGGCCGAUGUCGGAUUAGCUAGUUGGUGAGGUAAAGGCUCACCAAGGCGAAGAUCUGUAGCGGGUCUGAGAGGAUGAUCCGCCACACUGGGACUGAGACACGGCCCAGACUCCUACGGGAGGCAGCAGUGGGGAAUUUUGGACAAUGGGGGCAACCCUGAUCCAGCCAUGCCGCGUGUAUGAAGAAGGCCUUAGGGUUGUAAAGUACUUUUGUUAGGGAAGAAAAGUCAGCUGUGAAUAAUGGCUGAUACUGACGGUACCUAAAGAAUAAGCACCGGCUAACUACGUGC